rnacentral:rRNA from 1 species
AUACGUAGGGUGCGAGCGUUGUCCGGAAUUACUGGGCGUAAAGAGCUCGUAGGUGGUUUGUCGCGUCGUCUGUGACAUUCCGGGGCUUAACUCCGGGCGUGCAGGCGAUACGGGCAUAACUUGAGUACUGUAGGGGAGACUGGAAUCCCUGGCGUAGCGGUGAAAUGCGCAGAUAUCAGGAGGAACACCGGUGGCGAAGGCGGGUCUCUGGGCAGUAACUGACGCUGAGGAGCGAAAGCAUGGGUAGCGAACAGGAUUAGAUACCCUGGUAGUCCAUGCCGUAAACGGUGGGCGCUAGGUGUAGGGGUCUUCCACGACUUCUGUGCCGUAGCUAACACAUUAAGCGCCCCGCCUGGGGAGUACGGCCGCAAGGCUAAAACUCAAAUGAAUUGACGGGG